rnacentral:misc_RNA from 1 species
UGGUUCUCGCAUCGAUGAAGAACGCAGCGAAUUGCGAUAAGUAAUGUGAAUUGCAGAAUUCAGUGAAUCAUCGAAUUUUUGAACGCAUAUUGCACCUUCUGGUACUCUGGAAGGUAUGCCUGUUUGAGUGUCAUGAAAAUCAUCAACAAGAUGAGAGAUUUGUCUCUGUCAUGUUUGGAUGCUGAAGGUGUGCUAGCAGCGAAUCUGUUGGCUCCUUUUAAAUGAAUUAGCGUGGACGCGCGACAUCAGCUUCGAUUUGAUAAAGCUUUAGAUUGCUGCUGAGAUGGUGCCGACAAGCUUCUAAUUGUCUUACAAAGACUGUCAUUUUUGAAGGCAAGCUUUAUUAUAUUUUGAUCUCAAAUCAGGUAGGAUUACCCGCUGA